rnacentral:lncRNA from 1 species
CUCCGGUGGAGAUAAGCGUCCACUCUGCUGGGAGGACCAAGGCCCUUUCCAGCCUUUCCCCUGAGCUCCAGGCCCGUGUCUUUCUGGCCCCAAACAGAACCAUGCCCGGGGCAGAGACGGGGGCUGGUCUGGAGCAGACACAGGCAGGUGGUCACGUCCCACCAGUGACUCCACACAUCUCUCUGGGCCUCAAUUUCCCCAGCUCUCUGGGGAGAGGCCGCUUCCAUGAUUGGCCCGGCAAUGUCUGAUUUCCCUUCUGAGUUCCAGACGCCAGCUUUGACCCAGUCCUGCUAAAACCCGACAGCAUCCCAGCUGACCCUGCUGUGAGAGCAGCUUCCAGAGCCGGUUCCCUCCUGGGGCGGCGUGCUUAGCAACACCCAGGGGGCAGCCCUCCCUGGCCUCCGUGCCAGCCUGUGCUCAGCGAUGGUGCUUAUCGGGCCGGGGAGUGUCCUUUAAGUCAGGGGUCCCCAACCCCUGGGCCACGGACCUGUUGGUGUCCUGUUAGGAACCGGACUGCACGUCAGCAAGUGAGCUGCGGGAUAUCAUAACUAGGGGGGCGGCAACCAUCCUGUAACCACGAGGACAGAAGCCGAAAGCCACCAAGAGACAGAACCCUU